rnacentral:misc_RNA from 1 species
GAUGAAGGAACGCAGCGAAAUGCGAUACUUGGUGUGAAUUGCAGAAUCCCGUGAACCAUCGAGUCUUUGAACGCAAGUUGCGCCCGAAGCCAUUAGGCCGAGGGCACGCCUGCCUGGGCGUCACACGUCGUUGCCCCCCCAUCUACUCCUUCGGGAUUGCGGGGGGCGGAUGAUGGCCUCUCGUGCGCCUCGUCGCGCGGUUGGCCUAAAUGCCAAGUCCUCGGCGACGCACGCCACGACAAUCGGUGGUUGCGAAACCUCGGUUGCCUGUCGUGUGCGGUCGUCGCGCAUCGAGGGCUCGAAAAAAUUGCCGGGCUCCGGCUCGGCUUUCAACGCGACCCCAGGUCAGGCGGGGUUACCCGCUGAAUUUAAGCAUAUCAAUAAGCGGAGGA